rnacentral:rRNA from 1 species
CCUAACACAAGCAAGUCGAGCGAGGACUUCGGUCCUAGCGGCGGACGGGUGAGUAACGCGUGGGAACGUGCCCUUUGCUACGGAAUAGUCCCGGGAAACUGGGUUUAAUACCGUAUACGCCCUUCGGGGGAAAGAUUUAUCGGCAAAGGAUCGGCCCGCGUUGGAUUAGGUAGUUGGUGGGGUAAUGGCCUACCAAGCCGACGAUCCAUAGCUGGUUUGAGAGGAUGAUCAGCCACACUGGGACUGAGACACGGCCCAGACUCCUACGGGAGGCAGCAGUGGGGAAUCUUAGACAAUGGGGGAAACCCUGAUCUAGCCAUGCCGCGUGAGCGAUGAAGGCCUUAGGGUUGUAAAGCUCUUUCAGUGGGGAAGAUAAUGACGGUACCCACAGAAGAAGCCCCGGCUAACUCCGUGCCAGCAGCCGCGGUAAUACGGAGGGGGCUAGCGUUGUUCGGAAUUACUGGGCGUAAAGCGCGCGUAGGCGGGCUGGAAAGUUGGGGGUGAAAUCCCGGGGCUCAACCCCGGAACUGCCUCCAAAACUAUCAGCCUUGAGUUCGAGAGAGGUGAGUGGAAUUCCGAGUGUAGAGGUGAAAUUCGUAGAUAUUCGGAGGAACACCAGUGGCGAAGGCGGCUCACUGGCUCGAUACUGACGCUGAGGUGCGAAAGUGUGGGGAGCAAACAGGAUUAGAUACCCUGUAGUCCACACCGUAAACGAUGAAUGCCAGACGUCGGCAAGC